GGAACCCAUAAGGAACAGUCUUUCACAGUUGAGAGAAACCAACCGGUUUUAUUGCAGCAAAGAGAGAUUUGUCACUUCAGGACACCACAGCUGUGACAUAGAUACCACUCAGUGUGCUGGAACACAACUGGAUGGAAAACUACUUUUCAUCUCAUAAAAGUUUAAGACUAACAUUUUUCUCAUUUCAUUUCAGGACAAAGCUCAUUUUGAUAGAAUUCCAAAACAAAAGUCUGGGUGUACGUCAGAUGCUACUAAGGCCUUAGCGUAAACCCUUCAGGUAUGGCAGAGUAUCUUUCAGUUAACUCUGGUUGAAGCUGGGUUGGUCUACAUAACUGCACUUAGUUCAACAGAUAGAUUUAAAAUUCCUAUCAAUCAGAGAUGAUUAUGUGUCACCCAGGAAAUGAAAGGUCAGCUUUAAGAGAGCUCAGAAAAAAAAAAAAAAAGAGGUAAUUAAAAGGUUUUUUUAUUAUUAUUUUAUUAGAACUUCUCUACAGAAUUUGACUGUCA
rnacentral:lncRNA from 1 species